UAGGCUGCAACUCGCCUACACGAAGUCGGAAUCGCUAGUAAUCGCGGAUCAGCAUGCCGCGGUGAAUACGUUCCCGGGCCUUGUACACACCGCCCGUCACACCAUGAGAGUUUGUAACGCCCAAAGUCGGUGGCCUAACCUUUAUGGAGGGAGCCGCCUAAGGCGGGACAGAUGACUGGGGUGAAGUCGUAACAAGGUAGC
rnacentral:rRNA from 1 species